rnacentral:lncRNA from 1 species
CAAAAGUCCACAGAUAUAGUUAACCAAGUAGAUAAAUCUGAGUUUGAUCCCAUAUCUGAUAUGGGACAUACUUUGAAUCAGGAAGUAAAGUCUUCUGAGGACAUGACAGCUCUAUGUGAAUCUAGUAGGCCCAUUCGACCUUCAAGAAGGUGCGAAGUAUUAAUCAGUGAUCCAGGAUAAUGAACCUGCUAGUUGCAACAAAAUAAAGUCAAGCGUUGACUUAAAAGAGACAGUAAGAGGCCAUGAAACUCGAGAUGAAACUCGACGCAAGUGAACAAGGUUUGGACCUUGGUCAAGCCUCCUAAUGGAAUAAAGCCCAUAAGCUUUUGUAAAUAGUUUACAAAAGAAAAGGUUGAUAUGGAUAUGAAUAUCCAUAUAUACAAAGCAAUGCUAGAAGCAAAGGUUAAGAGUUGACCUUGGUGAAACUUUUCUCCUGUGACCUUGCUAAAGUCCAUUCGGGUUUUAUUUGCAACUGUUGCAUAUCGUAACUAAAGAUUAAGAUAAGUCUUUAUGGAGUUGAAAUCUUCGAUUUGAUGAAAAAGUCAAAGUGUUUGAUUUUAUCAAAUUUGAAGACGAAUUGUGUGUUUACAAGAAGAUAGUGGGAGCAUUUUUCGUAUUCCUAAAACGACAUCGCUAUAUUUCAAUCGUUGAAAUAAUGGUUGUUAAAAGAUUUAUUCAUAAAUGAUAUGGGAUAAGCAACUUGAUCUAUAGAGGUAGAUCUAGAAGAUUGCUUAACUCAUCCCAAUUUACAUAGAUGAAAUCUUGAGAAGAUUUCAUAUGGAGAAACUGGUUUACUCUUAAGCGGUAUGUUGGAAAGGUUCCAAACGUGGAGCAACCGUUGAUUUAAUAGUAGAAACCUAAUACAUGGAUACUUUAGAAGUAGCAAAGAGUUGCAAUAUGGAUCAUAAUAUUCAUAAAUGAACUUGGAGUAGUUCCUGAUAUUGUUGAUCACAUACAAUAGUAUUGUGAUAACAAUAGAGCCAUUACGAAAACAAAGGAACUAAGGUCUCAUCAAUGAUUCAAACAUGUAUUAAAACGGUAUAAUCUCAUCAGAGAGAUAAUACAUAGAAAUGACGUAAAGAGAAGAGCAAAUUUCCACAUUUAAUAAAAUUGCAGAUCCACUGACAAAGAGUUGUCGUAGUAUAAACAUGAUCGUCAUGUAGACUUAUGAUAUUUGAUACAUAAGUGAUUGGAUCUAGUGCAAGUGGGAGUUUGUAAGUAUUAUGCCCUAGGUCCAAUCGACUUUGGACAUAAAUACUUUUAUAUAUAAUUAAUGCAAUUAAAUGGCAGAUCUAUUAUUUAAUUAAUAGACAAUUAAAUAAAUAAUAGAGUCCGUAGAUUCAAAUAUUUGUAAUUUAUUAAUCACAAGGAGUUGUGAUUGUGAGAUACAAAUUACAUCUGAUUGAAUCUUAAAUCAUCCGUGG